UACGAGUGCCUCGAGCGUUAUCCGGAAUCAUUGGGCGUAAAGGGUGUGUAGGUGGUCAUGUUAGUCUCUCGUUAAAUUCUUCGGCUUAACCGGGGGCAUGCGAGGGAAACGGCAAGACUAGAGGAUGCAAGGGGUCUGCGGAACUCAUAGUGUAGCGGUGAAAUGCGUUGAUAUUAUGGGGAACACCAAAAGCGAAGGCAGCAGACUAGGGCACUCCUGACACUGAAACACGAAAGCGUGGGUAGCGAAUGGG
rnacentral:rRNA from 1 species